rnacentral:rRNA from 1 species
UACGCAGGGUGCAAGCGUUGUCCGGAAUUAUUGGGCGUAAAGAGCUCGUAGGCGGUUCGUCGCGUCGGCUGUGAAAACCUGAGGCUCAACCUCAGGCCUGCAGUCGAUACGGGCGGACUUGAGUACUGCAGGGGAGACUGGAAUUCCUGGUGUAGCGGUGAAAUGCGCAGAUAUCAGGAGGAACACCGGUGGCGAAGGCGGGUCUCUGGGCAGUAACUGACGCUGAGGAGCGAAAGCGUGGGGAGCGAACAGG